rnacentral:rRNA from 1 species
AUGCCUAAUACAUGCAAGUCGAACGAGAUCUUCGGAUCUAGUGGCGCACGGGUGCGUAACGCGUGGGAAUCUGCCCUUGGGUUCGGAAUAACGUCGGGAAACUGACGCUAAUACCGGAUGAUGACGAAAGUCCAAAGAUUUAUCGCCCAGGGAUGAGCCCGCGUAGGAUUAGCUAGUUGGUGGGGUAAAGGCUCACCAAGGCUACGAUCCUUAGCUGGUCUGAGAGGAUGAUCAGCCAUACUGGGACUGAGACACGGCCCAGACUCCUACGGGAGGCAGCAGUAGGGAAUAUUGGACAAUGGGGGCAACCCUGAUCCAGCAAUGCCGCGUGAGUGAUGAAGGCCUUAGGGUUGUAAAGCUCUUUUACCCGAGAUGAUAAUGACAGUAUCGGGAGAAUAAGCUCCGGCUAACUCCGUGCCAGCAGCCGCGGUAAUACGGAGGGAGCUAGCGUUGUUCGGAAUUACUGGGCGUAAAGCGCACGUAGGCGGCGAUUUAAGUCAGAGGUGAAAGCCCGGGGCUCAACCCCGGAACUGCCUUUGAGACUGGAUUGCUAGAAUCUUGGAGAGGCGGGUGGAAUUCCGAGUGUAGAGGUGAAAUUCGUAGAUAUUCGGAAGAACACCAGUGGCGAAGGCGGCCCGCUGGACAAGUAUU